rnacentral:rRNA from 1 species
UGAACGCUAGCUACAGGCUUAACACAUGCAAGUCGCGGGGCAGCAUGGAUGUCCUUUCGGGGACAUCUGAUGGCGACCGGCGUACGGGUGAGUAACGCGUAUCCAACCUGCCCUUUACAACGGGACAGCCCGUCGAAAGGCGGAUUAAUACCGUAUGUUGUCAUGUUGAUGCAUAUUUUCAUGACCAAAGGCUUCGGCCGGUAAAGGAUGGGGAUGCGUCUGAUUAGCUUGCCGGCGGGGUAACGGCCCACCGGGGCGACGAUCAGUAGGGGUUCUGAGAGGAAGGUCCCCCACAUUGGAACUGAGACACGGUCCAAACUCCUACGGGAGGCAGCAGUGAGGAAUAUUGGUCAAUGGGCGCGAGCCUGAACCAGCCAAGUAGCGUGCAGGACGACGGCCCUAUGGGUUGUAAACUGCUUUUAUACGGGGAUAAAGUAUGCCACGUGUGGUUUAUUGCAGGUACCGUAUGAAUAAGGACCGGCUAAUUCCGUGCCAGCAGCCGCGGUAAUACGGAGGAUGCGAGCGUUAUCCGGAUUUAUUGGGUUUAACAGGGUGCGUAGGCGGUCUGUUCAGUCAGCGUGUAAAAGCCCGGGGCUCAACUCCGGCGAGCCGUUGAAACUGGCGGACUAGAGAAGGCGAGAAGUACGCGGAAUGCAGCAGUGUAGCGGUGAAAUGCAUAGAUAUUGCGCAGAACUCCGAUUGCGAAGGCAGCGUACCGGCGCCUGACUGACGCUGAGGCACGAAAGCGUGGGUAUCGAACAGGCUUAGAUACCCUGGUAGUCCACGCAGUAAACGAUGAAUGCCGGCUGUUCGGGUCAACUCGAGUGGCGAAGCGAAAGCGAUAAGCAUUCCACCUGGGGAGUACGCCGGCAACGGUGAAACUCAAAGGAAUUGACGGGGGCCCGCACAAGCGGAGGAACAUGUGGUUUAAUUCGAUGAUACGCGAGGAACCUUACCCGGGCUCAAACGGGAGCGGAAUGGCGGAGAGACCCGUCAGUCUACGGACCGCUUCCGAGGUGCUGCAUGGUUGUCGUCAGACUCGUGCCGUGAGGUGUCGGCUUAAGUGCCAUAGACGAGCGCAACCCCUGCCGACUGUUGCUAACGAGUCAUGUCGAGGACUCAGUCGGGACUGCCGGCGCAAGCCGCGAGGAAGGCGGGGAUGACGUCAAAUCAGCACGGCCCUUACGUCCGGGGCGACACACGUGUUACAAUGGGCGGCACAGAGGGAAGCCAGGUGGCGACACCGCGCGGAACCCGAAAGCCGUUCUCAGUUCGGAUCGGAGUCUGCAACCCGACUCCGUGAAGCUGGAUUCGCUAGUAAUCGCGCAUCAGCCAUGGCGCGGUGAAUACGUUCCCGGGCCUUGUACACACCGCCCGUCAAGCCAUGGGAGCCGGGGGUGCUUGAAGUGCGUCGCCGCAAGGCGCAGCCCUAGAGCAAAAUCGGUGACUGGGGCU